CCCGGGGAAGGGAGGAAGGCUGCACUUUGCAUUUUAAAUCCUGAAAACAUAUUUUAAGGGCUCUGCUUCUGUCUGUUCUCCAGUUCUUGAGAAAAACUCAGCUAAGGAAAGAUUUUGGUAGGAGCCCAAAAGUGACAUUCGCCUGCCUUUUCCAGCUGCAAAAAUCCCCGUGAAGCAGCCCCUGUUGGGAAAAAGAACCCCCCAAGCCAAAAUCCAAGGUUACCGAGUCCCUGCUGAAGCCGAAGGGGAGGGAUGCUGUUCGCCCCAGCCUGAGAAGCAGCAGGGAGGAGGUAAGGUGAAUCUGUACAUGAUCAGCAAGCCGUGCACCUGGCAGUGAUGUCCUGAGUGCUGGUUGAACAAAGGCUCAUAUUUUUAUUUGUUUUUGUCAUUUGAAAGAAAAGAGCUGGGAGAGCGAGAAUAUUAGCAAUUUACUGUGAGGCUCCAUUAGAUCAAAUCAGCG
rnacentral:lncRNA from 1 species